rnacentral:rRNA from 1 species
AUGAACGCUGGCGGCGUGCCUAAUACAUGCCAGUCGAGCGAAUGGAUUAAGAGCUUGCUCUUAUGAAGUUAGCGGCGGACGGGUGAGUAACACGUGGGUAACCUGCCCAUAAGACUGGGAUAACUCCGGGAAACCGGGGCUAAUACCGGAUAACAUUUUGAACCGCAUGGUUCGAAAUUGAAAGGCGGCUUCGGCUGUCACUUAUGGAUGGACCCGCGUCGCAUUAGCUAGUUGGUGAGGUAACGGCUCACCAAGGCAACGAUGCGUAGCCGACCUGAGAGGGUGAUCGGCCACACUGGGACUGAGACACGGCCCAGACUCCUACGGGAGGCAGCAGUAGGGAAUCUUCCGCAAUGGACGAAAGUCUGACGGAGCAACGCCGCGUGAGUGAUGAAGGCUUUCGGGUCGUAAAACUCUGUUGUUAGGGAAGAACAAGUGCUAGUUGAAUAAGCUGGCACCUUGACGGUACCUAACCAGAAAGCCACGGCUAACUACGUG